rnacentral:rRNA from 1 species
UACGUAGGGGGCAAGCGUUGUCCGGAAUCAUUGGGCGUAAAGAGCGUGUAGGCGGCCUGGUAAGUCCGCUGUGAAAGUCCAGGGCUCAACCCUGGAAUGCCGGUGGAAACUGUCAGGCUCGAGUCCGGAAGAGGCGAGUGGAAUUCCUGGUGUAGCGGUGAAAUGCGCAGAGAUCAGGAGGAACACCAAUGGCGAAGGCAGCUCGCUGGGACGGUACUGACGCUGAGACGCGAAAGCGUGGGGAGCAAACAGG